UACGGAGGGUGCAAGCGUUAAUCGGACUUACUGGGCGUAAAGCGCACGUAGGUGGUUUUGUAAGUCGGAUGUGAAAGCCCUGGGCUUAACCUGGGAAUUGCAUUCGAUACUGCUUGACUAGAGUAUGGUAGAGGGAAGUGGAAUUUCCGGUGUAGCGGUGAAAUGCGUAGAUAUCGGAAGGACCACCAGUGGCGAAGGCGGCUUCCUGGGCCAAUACUGACACUGAGGUGCGAAAGCGUGGGUAGCAAACAGG
rnacentral:rRNA from 1 species